CUACAUACACUUAGAUAUAUCGCCAGGCGUAUGCGCAGGUGCCUUGCCUUUCGACAUCUCACGGGCGCUGACUGCGGCUCUUCCGGGGCUGUGCACUCUUGCCGUACAUCGUCGUCCCUACAGACUCUAGUCGCUUUCUCGGGCACCCUCUGUUUCUCCUGCUCCAAGACCUUCACCACUUCAUCCUCCGCCACCAUCUCGUCCGCCAGGUGUGUGUCGUGCGUUGCCGUCUGCACACCUGCCCGGCACUUUGGCAAUGCGCCGUCGCGCAUUCGCCCAGCCGAGACACCCGCCGAGAACAUGUGGCGGCAGAGUGAGCGCGAGACGAGCGCCUCCGUCGUCAUUGUCAUCAUGUUCAUGGUGCCACUGUGGCUUUACGUGCUUUCAGCGCAUGGGCAGGAGCAGAAGCGCGCCGCGGUGCGCGCUUGGGCGCUGGAGCAACGUGAACAGCAUCACCCCUCUGAGCGUGAGGGCGAAGACAAGACGUAGAGCGGCGAUGUAGGGGGCGGGGCAGGCGUGAGACGCGGUGCGGCGUCGAGAGUUCGGAUGCCCCGUCCGCCACUGCCCUUUUCUUCUCUCACCGGCUUGCCUGUCUCGCGCCGUCGCUGUGAGGGGGACGCUUUCAGCACCUCAGCAGCCUAGGGUUGAAGGUCAGCACGUGCAAACUCGGCUUUACAGAUGGCUAUACUGCAGCGCACCACGCAUACACACGACGGCGCUGCCGCCUGUGUUACUGCGUCUCUGGCGUGCCCCUCCUCUGCCUUUACUUCAUCGCCUUUCAGUCACAAGCUUACGUCUCGUCGAGGAGUCCCCGGAAAGCGCGCGGGAAAAGGAGCUGUAAUAUGAAGGGUUGAGCCUGCGCCCCUGUGAUGGACUGCUCUGCCGUCCACCCCACCCCACCCGUCUCAUCGCCGCAGUUUAGCGUGCGCCCAAGCCGAACAGAUGAGAACGGCUGCACCUUGCCGACAUCUCCGUUCCUCUGAUGCACACGCACACACACACACACACAACACCUUUGCCCUCCCCCGCUCUGUUUCUUGUGUAUAUGUUGCUUGGCGGGCCUUCGCCGCCUGUCUGGUGAGACUGCUGAGCCUGCUGCGGGUGUCGCUGGUGCCGACGUCCGCGUAAG
rnacentral:misc_RNA from 1 species